rnacentral:lncRNA from 1 species
GAUGACUGGCAAUGAACAGGCCUGGGCCGAUGGGUUGAUUCUGAAUUAAAACCCAGAUUCUGACUCAUCCACUACAGAAUCCAGAAUUCUAGAAAAUAAAAUGCCCAUUUCUCCCAUAGCUGGAGAGUCAUGUGAAAGACAUUGUAGUCAUGUGAUAUGGCUUCAUUGGCAUGACAGUUUACUAUUCAGCAAAGUACAUAGCACAGUUAACAAGUGUUUCUGCUGGGCCUUUUGCACUGACACUGAGUUUUUGGCCUCUCCCCCUCACAGCUGGUUUUGAUUUGGUUCCCGUGGAAUAUGGACUGACCUAACCCGCUCGCGAAGCAGCGUCUCUUCUCCCAAGCCUUCUGCUAGCCCACUUCCAACCUGCACUGGCCCAUCCUGACACCGUACCC